rnacentral:rRNA from 1 species
AUUGAACGCUGGCGGCAGGCUUAACACAUGCAAGUCGAGCGGAGAUGAGGUGCUUGCACCUUAUCUUAGCGGCGGACGGGUGAGUAAUGCUUAGGAAUCUGCCUAUUAGUGGGGGACAACAUUCCGGAAGGAAUGCUAAUACCGCAUACGUCCUACGGGAGAAAGCAGGGGAUCUUCGGACCUUGCGCUAAUAGAUGAGCCUAAGUCGGAUUAGCUAGUUGGUGGGGUAAAGGCCUACCAAGGCGACGAUCUGUAGCGGGUCUGAGAGGAUGAUCCGCCACACUGGGACUGAGAAACGGCCCAGACUCCUACGGGAGGCAGCAGUGGGGAAUAUGGGACAAUGGGGAAACCCUGAUCCAGCCAUGCCGCGUGUGUGAAGAAGGCCUUAUGGUUGUAAAGCACUUUAAGCGAGGAGGAGGCUACUGAGACUAAUACUCUUGGAUAGUGGACGUUACUCGCAGAAUAAGCACCGGCUAACUCUGUGCCAGCAGCCGCAGUAA